GCUUGCAGUGCACAGCCACUUUUUUCCCCUCUUCCAUAGAAUCAGCGAAGAGCUGACAUUUGCCAGGCUGCUCCUGGCGUCAUGGUGAGAGCUCGUUAAGGGUUGCACUGACGCAGGGACAAUAAGAGCUGUAACCUUCUGUUUUAAUGAACUCCUGACUCUGCACUGCCUUUUCAUUUUUGAUUCCACCCCUUUUUUCCUUCCCUUUGGAAAAAAAAGAGAAGGCAAAGCAAAUUACUAAAAGGAUCCCUGGGCCGGCAUUGCUCAGUAAGAUGCUGAAAGCCUCAGGACAAUAGACUGGAUGAUGAAUGACUUAUCAAUAUGCUUCUUCGCUUCCUCUGCCCCAACCAAUACUGAGUCUGCAUUCUUUAGGGUCUGGAUUUAAUGAGGCUCUGGUGCUCGAGAGGACUGUACUGCUAGUCCUAAAGGGUCCAUAGAAUCAGAACUGAAAAGAACACAGCGUUCUUAGGAAAGCAUCUGCUUAGGUCACGUCAGUGCUUCCAGUGUACCUUCCCCAGAAAUUGGAGACUCAUGCAUCCCUGCCUUCAGCUUUGCUUUUGGCAUCCUCCUCUGACGUAUGAUGAGUCAUCACAGAAUGCUGUUUAGGACUGCAGAUAUGAAAUCUAAGGGUGUGCACAGUGCAGGCCCAAGCAAAGCAGAAGUGAAAGUCAAUGGAGCCUGCUCUACAAUGAGCUGCAGAGCUCAAGGGACAUAAAGCAUGCACUGGUAAGGAGGUGGUCAAGCUAUCAAAGAGGAAAGGCCUUGUUUAUAUUCCCCUGCCUCUGGGGGCAGACAGCAACUACCAGAACAUAGGCACACCCAGGUCUGUCUCAUGGCUUUGCCCACCAGCAGUCAACAACCUGGAUCCAGCAGCUCACUGCAUCAAAGUUGUCAACACAAGAAAAAAAAUCUACUAACAAUCUGCAAACUUGUUGCUGGCAACCAAACUUUUUUGGUAAGAUAUGUUUUUUACUGACAUGUAUUUCACCUAAUGUACAUGUAACCCUUCUGCCAGACCCUGGAUGGCAGUAACAAGGGACAGGUUCAAGUUUGGUUUUGGUUUUGGUUCAGGACCAAUUUUUUAUAUCUUGUCUCAGCUGGCAUAUUUUAUAUAUGACACGUAACAUAAAUGAUGCCAAAUUGACAAAAAGUCUUACAUGACUGCUACAAUGGUUUUACACUGUCCUGACCCCACCCCAGGAGUCCCCUAUUUACCCUCAUACCCCCAAAUCCUGGCCACCCCCUUCACUAUGCUAUGCCUAGCCCAGCCCAGCCCUCAGUCUUACCCCACUGGCUCUGCUCCCCAUCCCAACAGAGACCCCUACCCACCACCUCUACCCCCUUCCAUCCCUACAGCUCUGUAACUGCAGCUGUCCUCACCUAUGAAUGGAAACACAAUUUAAAAAACCAAACUUUAACUGUUGCAGUCUGUCAAUAAUAAAGAUUAUAACAACAGAAGGCUUUGCCGAAAAAAUGACAACACUCCCUGUGGCAUCAAGGAAACCAACAUCUUACUUAUUUGAGAGGAUUUAUUUUUAAAACAUUUUUUUAAAGCCAAUCAUAUGGGGUUUUUUGAAAGGCUGGGAUUAUCAGAGGUCUUUGGGGAAGGAAACCCUUUUGCUUAUUGUCCAGCAGUCUGGGUAAAAUAGUAUUUCAAUGCUGCUGUUUUACUGCGAACAUGCUGUCUAAAAAGAGCUCAAUUGCACCAAAGCUUAUCAGACACAAAAGUCAGUUUUCAGAUAAGCAGAGAGUAACAUAUAGAUUAAACCUGUCAGUUAAUUGAAAAGGCCAAGGUUUAAAAUUACAGAGGUCUGCAUUUAGUGGAGUAAUACUUAAAGAAAUAGUGCCAGCUCAAGGGGCCAAUAAAAAGAAAAAUGUAGCGCAGGACUUGCAGAUUCUGUAUCAAGUAUCAAAACUACUUAGUGUGAGUAAUUGGCUUGAGGUUCAAAAAUGUUGUCAAAUGUGAUAUGGAAAGUGAGUCAAGUCCAGGGAAAAAAUAAAUUGUGUCUUUUGUUUCUACAGAUAGAAAAAUGAAUGUUAGGGUUGUGCAAAGCUUUGGUCCCUGAUUUGAUCUGGCGGAAAUUUGGCCCAAUUCGG